AUUCCGCUCAGCGCUCAAAAUUCCGCCUAAAGGAAAAUCAGCUGAAAGGCUUCUUGUCUCGUUAGAGUUCUGAAAUGGAGAACAGUAAGAUUUUCAAAACAGUGAAAAGACAAUAGAACCUUUCGAUCGCUGGAUCUGUUAUGCCAAGUAUACGUAAAGUCCAUUUAGGCCGUGGGCUGUUGUGCGAAAAAGUGCCUAGGAAAGCAAUUUCGUGGCACCCUCCUGGGAAAUAGAUUUUCUGUGGUUCAAGCAAAAAACAAAAACUUGCAAAGCAAGCAAAAACCAAGCAAAAAACUUGCCCAACACCGAGAAAAUGGGUGAUCAGUGAUUAUCCUCUAUUAAAUUGUAUUACAGCAGGAAAAUGUGAAAUUUUGUAUUUAAUUACAACAAAAAUGACUUGCAUUAUCAGAAAGCUUACAAAAAUCUACAUAUAAGACAUUUAAACAGUUUUUUUUUAUAUCUAAAAUUGUUUUCGAGUUAUACGCUGUCAAGAACGCGUUUUUUACCUAGUACCCAGUCCUUAUUGCGACACUUUGGUCCAAUUUUCACAUUUAAAACAGCAAUAACUCAAAGACUAUUUGAAAAAUCAAAAAACUGUUUAAAAGUCUUAUAUGCGGUUUUUUGUACGUUUUCCGAUGAUGCAAGUCAGUUUUAUUGUAAUUAUAUACAGAAUUUCCCAUUUUUUUUUGCAGUAAUACAAUUUAAUACAGGAUAAUCAUUGAUCACCCAUUUUCUCGGGAUUGGGAAACUUUUUUGCUUGGGAACUUUUUUUGGUAGUGAUGUACCUAUAUGCCUUUCAUAUAAACCCCAAACCAAGUAUUUCCCACAUGGGUGCCACGAAGCGAAAUCAUUUUGGCCAACAGCCCACGGCCUAAUUGUAGUUCCAAGAGCGAGGCAAGAAUAGCUGAUUAGGUCAUUAGGAUGCCUGUAAAACUGAUAACAUUCAAACUUUUGACGAUUAUGAAAGUGGUAUUUACACAGUUUACACUGUCAGUUCAAUGUAUUUUAUUGUUUGCAGUUCAAAAGGCUACUUUCGGAAUCCACUAUCUGUAUGAUAUACGGUGUUGUUGAAGCUCAUCGGUUGAAAAUCAGCUGGCGUUGAAAAAGGAGCCAACUGGAUGUCGCGUUGAUGUGUGUUCUACAUA
rnacentral:lncRNA from 1 species